rnacentral:rRNA from 1 species
GACGAACGCUGGCGGCGUGCCUAAUACAUGCAAGUCGAGCGAUGAAGCUUGGUGCUUGCACCAAUUUGAAGAGCAGCGAACGGGUGAGUAACGCGUGGGGAAUCUGCCUUUGAGCGGGGGACAACAUUUGGAAACGAAUGCUAAUACCGCAUAACAACUUUAAACAUAAGUUUUAAGUUUGAAAGAUGCAAUUGCAUCACUCAAAGAUGAUCCCGCGUUGUAUUAGCUAGUUGGUGAGGUAAAGGCUCACCAAGGCGAUGAUACAUAGCCGACCUGAGAGGGUGAUCGGCCACAUUGGGACUGUGACACGGCCCAAACGCCUUCGGGAAGCAGCAGUAGGGAAUCUUCGGGCAUGGACGAAAGUCUGACCGAGCAACGCCGCGUGAGUGAAGAAGGUUUUCGGGUCGUAAAACUCUGUUGGUAGGGAAGAACGUUGGUGAGAGUGGAAAGCUCAUCAAGUGACGGUAACUACCCAGAAAGGGACGGCUAACUACGUG